UGCUGCUGUUUUCAUAGGAUUCUCUCAUCAUGUGAUUUCAGAGAAAUUACUCAGAGGUGGUACUUAAAGCUGAUAGGGGAUGGGACAGACAGAGAAGACUCAAUGCGCUCAAAGCUGCUUCACCUGAAUCACCUCUCAAAACAGGAUAUCACCAGGUCAAUGAGGGAUCUGGAGAUGGAAAUUGUGGAAUUACAGAAUUUAGCAGAAUCGCUCUGCAACUGGACGAGAACUCAGGGAUUCGAAUGAGAUAAGGAGGCAUUCAGUGGGUUUCUACUCACACUAGUGAGUACACAGAAGAACAACUGUUUGAAUCCUUCUGUGACAGGUUGCCCAAAGUCCCAGAAGACAUGAACGUUGUACUUGAACAACCACAGAUCACCCAUCCAUCCAAGAUGAAUAUUAAUGCCCAUGGAGGUGCCGGAGGAGGAGGAGAAGAAGGAAGCAGAGGAGGAGGAAGAGUAGG